rnacentral:rRNA from 1 species
GACGAACGCUGGCGGCGUGCUUAACACAUGCAAGUCGAACGGAAAGGCCCUGCUUGCAGGGUACUCGAGUGGCGAACGGGUGAGUAACGCGUGGGUGUUCUGCCCUGCACUUCGGGAUAAGCCUGGGAAACUGGGUCUAAUACCGGAUAGGAGCCAGUUUUAGUGUGGUGGUUGGAAAGUUUUUUCGGUGUAGGAUGAGCUCGCGGCCUAUCAGCUUGUUGGUGGGGUAAUGGCCUACCAAGGCGGCGACGGGUAGCCGGCCUGAGAGGGUGGACGGCCACAUUGAGACUGAGAGAAGGCCCAGACGCCGACGGGUGGAAGCAGUGGGGAAUAUUGAACAAUGGGCGCAAGCCUGAUGCAGCGACGCCGCGUGGGGGAUGGCGGCCUUCGGGUUGUAAACGCCUAUCGCUAGGGACGAAGCUUUUUGUGACGGUACCAAGAGAAGAAGCACCGGCUAACUACGUG